GAUAGUGUUAAAAACACAGGUUAAAUGGAUGUUGAAGAGCUGCUAUAAGAGGCCUCAUUUGGGUAAGAAAAGAGUUAUUGGUCUUUAAAUUAAUUGAUUGUUUCAUCUUCCCUGCAUAAAAAGCUCACCUGCAAUAUUUAAGAAGUAAACAACUGCCAGCCGAGCUGGCUGUUCCAGUCUGUCGCUCACCAAACACCAUCAAUUCUGCUUUUGAGCUACUUGUAGCACCAGCUAUUGGCUGUGUAAAAAAAUCUUAAAAAGAUAGUAGACUGUUUGGCUGAAAUAUAUUACACAGACAAAACAAUAGCUACUUGUAAAGCACUUCCUGAGUGGGAAUAUCAGCUCCUGCUGGACCACGCCCACCAAAAAGAUUUGUGGAACUCAAAGAGGGUGGUGCUACCUAUCACAUAAAUUCUGUGACCCAGCAGCUAUACCUGAUCCCCGUCAUCAGCAGCAGUAUUUUAACCAUUGAAAAGACAGGUAGCAACACAGGCGAUGAU
rnacentral:lncRNA from 1 species